rnacentral:rRNA from 1 species
GACGAACGCUGGCGGCGUGCUUAACACAUGCAAGUCGAACGGAAAGGCCCUGCUUUUGUGGGGUGCUCGAGUGGCGAACGGGUGAGUAACACGUGAGUAACCUGCCCUUGACUUUGGGAUAACUUCAGGAAACUGGGGCUAAUACCGGAUAGGAGCUCCUGCUGCAUGGUGGGGGUGGGAAAGUUUCGGCGGUUGGGGAUGGACUCGCGGCUUAUCAGCUUGUUGGGGGGGUAGUGGCUUACCAAGGCUUUGACGGGUAGCCGGCCGGAGAGGGUGACGGGCCCCAUGGGGACGGAGACACGCCCGAGACUCCGAGGGGGGGGAGGGGGGGGAAAUUGGGCACAGGGGGGGGAAGCCUGAUGCAGCAGCCCCGGGUGGGGGAUGAGGGCCUUCGGUUUGAAACCCGUUUGCGCCGGUGAGGAAGGGGGAGGGAGGUUAAUGGGUAAAAAAGCCCGGGCUAAUUACGUC